rfam:Pristionchus pacificus strain PS312 contig10400, whole genome shotgun sequence.
UCUUCAUUUCACACACUCUCUCACCGGUCAGAGAGGCGAGACAGUGUGUGAAAUGAAGAGG